CAGUCGCCGCGGGAAUACGAAGGGUGCAAGCGUUAAUCGGAAUUACUGGGCGUAAAGCGUGCGCAGGCGGUUGUGUAAGACAGGUGUGAAAUCCCCGGGCUUAACCUGGGAACUGCGCUUGUGACUGCACAGCUAGAGUAUGGCAGAGGGGGGUGGAAUUCCACGUGUAGCAGUGAAAUGCGUAGAGAUGUGGAGGAACACCGAUGGCGAAGGCAGCCCCCUGGGCCAAUACUGACGCUCAUGCACGAAAGCGUGGGGAGCAAACAGGAUUAGAUACCCCAGUAGUCCCUGUCUCUUAUAC
rnacentral:rRNA from 1 species